rnacentral:rRNA from 1 species
GAUGAACGCUGGCGGCGUGCCUAAUACAUGCAAGUCGAGCGAACGGACGAGAAGCUUGCUUCUCUGAUGUUAGCGGCGGACGGGUGAGUAACACGUGGAUAACCUACCUAUAAGACUGGGAUAACUUCGGGAAACCGGAGCUAAUACCGGAUAAUAUUUUGAACCGCAUGGUUCAAAAGUGAAAGACGGUCUUGCUGUCACUUAUAGAUGGAUCCGCGCUGCAUUAGCUAGUUGGUAAGGUAACGGCUUACCAAGGCAACGAUGCAUAGCCGACCUGAGGGCGUGAUCGGCCACACGGGAACUGAUCCAAGGGCCGGUUUCCUAAGGGAGUCAGGAGUAGGACAUCUGCCACCAUCGCCGAAAACGUGGUGGAUGUACGUCGUGUUAUUGAUGAAGAUCUCCGCCUCGUAUUACUCUCUUAUUUGGGUAGAACAGAUGUGUAAUUAACUCUGACUAUCUUCACGGUACCUUAUCAGAAGGCUACGGCUAACUGCCUG